rnacentral:rRNA from 1 species
GAUGAACGCUGGCGGCGUGCCUAAUACAUGCAAGUCGAGCGAACGGACGAGAAGCUUGCUUCUCUGAUGUUAGCGGCGGACGGGUGAGUAACACGUGGAUAACCUGCCUAUAAGACUGGGAUAACUUCGGGAAACCGGAGCUAAUACCGGAUAAUAUUUUGAACCGCAUGGUUCAAAAGUGAAAGACGGUCUUGCUGUCACUUAUAGAUGGAUCCGCGCUGCAUUAGCUAGUUGGUAAGGUAACGGCUUACCAAAGCAACGAUGCAUAGCCGACCUGAGAGGGUGAUCGGCCACACUGGAACUGAGACACGGUCCAGACUCCUACGGGAGGCAGCAGUAGGGAAUCUUCCGCAAUGGGCGAAAGCCUGACGGAGCAACGCCGCGUGAGUGAUGAAGGUCUUCGGAUCGUAAAACUCUGUUAUUAGGGAAGAACAUAUGUGUAAGUAACUGUGCACAUCUUGACGGUACCUAAUCAGAAAGCCACGGCUAACUACGUG